AGUGGGAUAGCUGGAUCAAAGUUGGUUCCAUUCCAAAUUAUCUGAGGAAUCUCCAAACUGCUUUCCAUAGUGGUUGUACCGAUUUGCAGUCCCACCAGCAAU
rnacentral:pre_miRNA from 1 species